AGAGGCUGAACUCUUGGAGCUCCGUGCUGAGAAAAAUAGAAGAGAAAGAGAUGAGAAGGAGCUGCAGACCAUAAAUUAGAAGCUUGAAGCCGAAAAGAAAGAGUUGAAUGAGGAAGUAGCUAAAUUACAGCAGAGGCUUGGGAAAGAGAAGCAGAGGAGGCAGGAUGCUGAGAUGGCCCUGAAAUCCUGAAUGAAGGAGCUUGAGACCAAAGACAUAAAGUUUGAAGAAAAAGUAACUGAAGUCCAGCAGCAGGUAAAAGAUGAACAGAGGAGGGAGGAAGCUGAGUAAGACGUGGAGGUCCUGAAACAGGAGUUGGAAAACUAGAUUUACUUAACAUGUAUAUCUUUAUAAAAUAGAUAAAGAGUCAUUUUAUAGUCCUGAGUCUGUACGAGCCGAGUACAUCACUAUGAUGUCAUAGGCUGUGGAUACGGUUCAUGUAGUCUGGAUCGAAAAUGCUCAGAUUGUUUCCUCUUUGUUCCCAAACCUCUGUUUGUCUUGUUUUCUCUGUAUAUGUCAUAUUAUCACAGCACUAAAGUACAAGAACUGAGAAUGAAUACUUGAAGAGUGUUUUUUUUUUCUUUAGAGAAAUCUAUGACAGCAUCUCACAUCUUUGGAAGAAACUGUGAUAAAAGGGAUCCAGACUUCGUGUCAACUACAUUGAAAAAAGAACAUGUUGGAUUUACUUAAUUCAAUAGUGUAAUUGGUUGCACACAAAUGUUUUGCUUUGGCUGAAACUUAAAAAACUGAGUUAAAUUGACACGACUUAUUCAUAUUCAAUAAACCUGUGCAUUUUGUGUUGAUAA